GAUGAACGCUGGCGGCGUGCCUAAUACAUGCAAGUCGAGCGAACGGACGAGAAGCUUGCUUCUCUGAUGUUAGCGGCGGACGGGUGAGUAACACGUGGAUAACCUACCUAUAAGACUGGGAUAACUUCGGGAAACCGUAGCCAAUACCGGAUAAUAUUUUGAAUCGCAUGGUUCAAAAGUGAAAGACGGUCUUGCUGUCACUUAUAGAUGGAUCCGCGCUGCAUUAGCUAGUUGGUAAGGUAACGGCUUACCAAGGCAACGAUGCAUAGCCGACCUGAGAGGGUGAUCGGCCACACUGGAACUGAGACACGGUCCAGACUCCUACGGGAGGCAGCAGUAGGGAAUCUUCCGCAAUGGGCGAAAGCCUGACGGAGCAACGCCGCGUGAGUGAUGAAGGUCUUCGGAUCGUAAAACUCUGUUAUUAGGGAAGAACAUAUGUGUAAGUAACUGUGCACAUCUUGACGGUACCUAAUCAGAAAGCCACGGCUAACUACGUG
rnacentral:rRNA from 1 species